UAUAGGAUCUAGCCUGGUGGUCAGCGUCAUGCUAUGAGAUUCGGGCGACCAGGGGAUCGAAUCCCACGGAGCCCAAUUUUAUUUUUCCCCUUGCGUAAGUUCAUGUUUUCCCUUAAAUCAUGCAUACAUGGUCACUUGGGCCUAAUCUAAUCCUGGGCUGCUGCACUUUGGUGCAAUUCGGCCCAUACGUUUUUUUUAUUUAACCUGCGAUUUUAUUUAAUUUCAAAAAAUGCAUUGAUUUUCAAAAGAACGUAGUUUCUAAACCGUGCAUCGGAUCGGAAUGAUUUAUAUAUGUAAAAUGUGUAGAAUUUUAUGUAGAUUAAUAUUUUUCAACUCUCAUGCAUAAUUAGAACUGUUUAGUGUGCUGUUUACCUCGUUUUGCGUGUCGACAUGUUGAAACGGUUUAGGUCGUAACUAUUUGUUCGUAGCUCCGUUCGAGAUGUGCCAUAUAUGUAAAUGGAGCAGAACGACGUGUACUUUCACGUGAACCACUUUGUUUUGACGUUUAACAAUAUUAAAAUGUGAUUAGGACAAAUCUGGACAGAAUUAGAAUUUAACGCGUGGGGUCAUUUCGGAGAUGCUAUGAGUUGUUUCCGACCUCAUUUAAAAUGCAUAGUUGGGUAGAUUAAUUACGCUUCACCUCUUGCCAUGUUUAACCACAUUUAAUAUUGUCGUGUACCUGAACGGGAGUGAACUAAAUAAUUCAACGUGGAGUUUCGUCGAUAUGCAACUCGUUGCAUAUCAAGCUUCACUUAAUGUGUAGUGUUGGAUUGUUGUGAUUGUCAUGCCUUGCAUUAGACCGUUCAUGCAUCAUAUGUGUCUUGCAUCGUGUGGUGAAUCCGUGUGUUGAUUUGUGUUUCUGGUUUGCUUCGCCUCGAUAGAGUUCCGCAAGCGAGUCGGAUAGUGAGGACCCGUUCGACUACGUCGGUCCAUCUGCUUCACGGAGGCAUUCUUCUUCCAAGCGGGAUCUCAGGCAAGAUGACCAUUUCCCCAUAUACCAUUACUAUCAUUGCCAUGCUAGUAUUACCGUUUCUAUCGAAUAUGUAUCGUUGCCUACCACAUGUCAAAUAUCAGCCUCUCAACAAUGCCAUGAAACCUUCAACCUGUUCAACCUAGCAAACCACUGAUUGGCUAUGUUACUGCUUGCUUAACCAUGUUGUUAGCAUUGCUAGUUGCAGGUGCAUCGCUUCCAUGUGAAAGCAUGGGUUCCUUGUUAUAUCACCAUAUUAAAUGCUAUUUAAUUUAAUGCACAUAUACACUUGGUAAAAGGUGGAAGGCUCGGCCUUUCUAGCCUGGUGUUUUGUUCCACCUUUGCCCCCUUAGUUUCGGCUACCGGUGUUAUGUUCCACAAUUGAGCGCUCAUAACACGAUCGGGGUUGUUAUGGGGACCCCCUUGAUAAUUAAUUUUAGAUUAAAGCUGGUCUGGCAAGGCCCAACACUGGUACUAUUUGCCCAACAUAAUAAUUCUGUUAAAAAGAAAUGCAUAGGGAGUUAGCGCUACCCGAGGAGUAAUUCUACAUAAUACAGGGGGGCAGUGUUGUUGGUGCUGGUCCAAAACUAGAGUCGUUUGCGGGGCCAGCCCGGGGCAACUCGGGAGAUUUCUAUCAGGCCACCGUACGCUCUGCUUAUCCGUCGUGUCCUGAGAACGAGAUACGCGGCUCCUAUCGGGAUCGUCAACACGUCGGGCUGCCUUGCUGGAUUAGUUUUACCUUUGACGAGAUAUCUUGUGCAUCGGGAUUCCGGUGAUGCUUUGGGUAAUCUCAUAGUUGAGGUUUUCCACUAUGGAAUCUGAUGAGAUCGUGAGUGUCGUGAUCGAGGAUUUCUAUGCGGCUUGUGGUAAUUUGUGAUGGACUAGUUGGAGCACCCCUGCAGGGUUAAAUCUUUUCGGAAAGCCGUGCCCGCGGUUAUGUGGCAACGUGGAAACUUUGUUUAACAUUGGUUCUAGAUAACUUGAAGUUAACUUAAUUAAAAUAUGCCAACUGUGUGCGUAACCAUGACUGUCUCUUUCGUGAGUUCCUUCUCCGAUCGAGGAUACGGUGGGGUUAUGUUUGACGUAGGUAGGUGUUCAGGAUCAUUCUUUUGAUCAUCAGUAGACACGUCCGUUAUGCGUAGAUCUUCCCCCUCUUAUUUCUUGUACUCGUAAGUUUAGCCACCAAAUAUAUGCUUAGCCGUUGCUGCAACCUCACCACUUAACCAUGCCUCACCCAGUAAGCUUUGCUAGUCUUGAUACCUUUGGAAAUGAGAUUGCUGAGUCCCCUGUGGCUCACAGAUUACUACAACACCAGUUGCAGGUACAGGUAAAGGUUACUUGACGCGAGCGCGUUGAUUGUUCAUUUGGAGUUGCUUCUUCUUCUUCUUCAUCGAUCUAGGAUGGGUUUCAGGCCGGCAGCCUGGGAUAGCAAGGAUGGACGUCGUUCUUCUUUUGUCGUUUGUUUUCGUCCGUAGUCGGACCCUGCUCUUACUCUUGAUGAUUAUGUAAUGUACUCAUGUGACUCUGAUGUAGCUUGUGGCGAGUGUAAGCCAACUAUGUAUAUAUAUCUCUUAUUUUCAGUACAUGUACUUGUAACGAUAUCCAUUCUUGCGACACGACGAGAUGCGCUUCUAUCCCUGACGAGGCCUUCGUGCCAAAUUGAGGAUGGACGUGCUACGGAACGAGUAAAGAGACUUACCGGUAA
rnacentral:lncRNA from 1 species